rnacentral:rRNA from 1 species
GUGGCCGCCUUGAAUGCCCUCGCUAUGAACGCUUUUUAUAUACACCUUUAUAAAGUCUUGUAGAAUGUUGAUAAGCGUGUAACAGCGCAAAAAUAAUACAACUUUCAGCAACGGAUCUCUUGGCUCUCGCAUCGAUGAAGAACGCAGCGAAAUGCGAUAAGUAAUGUGAAUUGCAGAAUUCAGUGAAUCAUCGAAUCUUUGAACGCACCUUGCGCUCCUUGGUAUUCCGAGGAGCAUGCCUGUUUGAGUGUCAU